AAACGAAAUGAUAAUCAAAUAUCUAUAUGUAUAUCUUUUCCAAAAACAUAAGAAGACAAUAUCUAAUUGUUACAAAGUCCAUUAAAAUAAAUAAAGAUUAAUACAAUAGUUUAUUUCUGUAAUUUUCAAAUCCGUUUAAAAAUAAAAAAAAAAACAAUAUUAGAAAAACCAAAAUCCCUAGUAUAUUUUGAGACCUAAGAUCACGUUUAUAGGCAACUCUUAAUCUCGUGCCUUACCUUAAUUAAUAAAAAAGAAGAGGAAAACAUGGAGUAAAACAAAGGGACGUCCCUUAAUUAAGCGUUUGAAGACACGUUCCUUGGUGCGACGUGUCACAAUUGUAUUGGGUAGAGGAACGGUGAAGUCGUUCCCAUUUCUUUCUCUCUUAUCUUUCUCUUCUCGUUUGCUCCGCAAAUGCGACGAAAAUGGCGAUUGUUUCGCCCUCUCUGUGGAGCUCGUUGACGUCUACAGGGGUUUCUCUAGUCGAUGAUGGACAACAGUGAUUUCUCUCUCUCUUGGUGCUCUACUCGACGAAGGAAACAGCGUUUGCUCUCUCACGGUGCUCUCCUCGACGAAACGGCGAUUCCUCUCCCUCUCGGUGGCUCUCGUCGAGGAAAGAAGACAGUGAACUCUCGAUCGGUGGUUAUCUCUCUCUACUGUUGGCUCUCUGAAACGGCGAUUGUUUCUGAAGGGAAUCGAAAGAUGGAUCAAGACGCAUGAUCCAGGAUUGAGCUAGAGGCGUGAAGUGGGCACAAAACCUGUCUCUUUGGCAGACAAAACCGCAAAUCGCAAAGGUUGUUUGAUCAAGAUGCUUGAUCCAGUUGGUGAGACAAAAACGAAGAAGCCUACCAUCGUUCAUAUAGGCUGCAUAGAUUUGGAGCAAAGAAGACAGAGGUCACAGAUUUAUUGUAAAAGACAGAGGUCACGGCUGUUGUUGUUUUGUUGUUGUUUUGUUGCAGGCUGCGAAGAUGUUGUUGUUUUGUUGUCACGGGUUUGUUGUUGUCACGGUUUUGUUGUUGUUUUGUGGUCACGAGAGAUUGUUCUUGUUUUGUAUUCUUGUCAAUCGAACAGAGUUCACGAGAGUUUGUUCUUUUUGUUGUUUACAUGUUGUUGAAGUAAAGAACACAGACUUAUAAAUUGUUUUGGUCACGGAAUAUUGCAUCACACCAUUUUCUCCAUUCUCGUUUAAAAAAAAUUCUAUCUCUUCUUUCAUCUAUCUCUUCUCAUCAUUGUCUUAUGGCAUUUUGAAAACCAAAACACAUUCUAAUUCAAACCAAACCUUUUUCUAUCUUGUAACCACAACUCAAACCAAAACUCAAACCAUCUUGUAAUCAUCUCAUGGCAUCUUCAUCUAAAGACACGUAUGGUCAUGAAGAAGCUUUCGAGGAUAACGAGAAUUCGUUUGAUGAAGCUUUCGAUCAAUAUUUUGAUCAACGUGUUGAUCAAGCAUUUUAGAAUUUGUGCAAUACUUAUGGUCAUCAAGAAGGGCAAAAAAGAACAAGAAAGAGACGAGAAUUUAUUGAAAGAAACCGUGAAGAAGGUCAUCUUCGAUUAUGGAAUGAUUAUUUCAGUGACACUUCCACAUAUCCUCAAAAUCUAUUUCGACGACGAUUUAGAAUGAACAAGUCAUUAUUCAUGCGUAUUGUUGAUCGCCUCUCCAAUGAAGUUCAAUUAUUUCGUCAAAAGUAAGACGUUACAUGAAGAUUUGGUCUCUCCCCACUUCAAAAGUGUACAGCAGCUAUUCGUGUGUUGGCAUAUGGUUCUGCGCUUGAUGCGGUCGACGAAUACCUCCGUCUCAGUGCAACCACUACUCGGUUAUGUGUAGAAAAUUUCGUGGAAGCAAUAAUAAAUUUGUUCGGUGAUGAGUACCUAAGAAUACCAACAAUGGAAGAUCUUCAACGUCUACUUCAUAUUGGAGAGCUUCGGGGAUUUCCCGAGAUGAUAGGAAACAUCGAUUGUAUGCAUUGGGAGUGGGAGAAUUGUCCCACCGCUUGGAAAGGGCAAUAUUCUUGUGGUUUGGGAAAACCGACAAUCGUUUUAGAGGCGGUUUCUUCCUAUGAUCUCUGGAUAUGACAUGUGUUUUUUGGACCUCCAGGUACCUUAAAUGAUAUCAAUGUUCUUGAUCGCUCACCUGUUUUUGAUGAUAUAAUAAAUGGUAGAGCUCCGCAAGUGAAUUUCUCGGUCAACGGAAGAAAGUUUGAUUUGGCUUACUAUCUCACCGAUGGUAUUUACCCAAAAUGGGCAACUUUAUCCAAUCUAUUCCAAUUCCAAAGAGCCAAAAGCAGUUUUAUUUGCUCAACGUCAAGAAGCUGCCCGAAAAGAUGUCGAGCGUGCUUUCAGAGUCUUGCAAGCUCGAUUUGCCAUUGUUAAAAAUCCGGUAUUUUCUUGGGAUAAAGUCAAGAUCGGGAAGAUUAUGAGAGCAUGUAUGAUACUCCAUAAUAUGAUAGUAGAAAACGAACGAGGUGAAUACACUCAAUACGAUGUUUCGGAUUUCCAACAAGGAGAAGGCAGCGGAAGUUCACAUGUUGAUCUCACCUUUUCUACAGAUAUCCCUACAAAUAUCGCCAAUCAAAUGGGUGUUCGAACAAGAAUUCGUGAUAGACAAACACAUCAACAACUGAAAAGUGAUCUGGUUCAACAUUUAUGGCGUAAAUUUGGACGUGAUCAAGAUAACAACUGAACUUCGAUGCCGCUUUCAAAUUAUUAUCAUUUAUUUUAGUAAUUUUUGUUUUUAUGUUUUUAUUUUAAAAUCUAUGUUUAAAUUGUUGUGUUUAACUUUGCUUUAUUUAAUAAAUAAAUUUUAUCUUUAAAAAAAAUUAUGUUUAAAUUUAAAUUUAAUAUUUUUUAUUGUUAAGAAUCUUAAUUAAGAAACAGCUAAUAAACCACUAUAAUUAAGUGUAUCUUAACAAUGUUUCUUAACUUAAUGAUAACUAGGUGACCGGCCCGCACCCUGUGCGGGCAUAAGAAAAUCCAAAAUAUAGACUAAAUCUUAUAUAGUUUUAGAAGUAACAGAUUUUAUAAUAUAAUACCACCGUUUUUGGGAGAAUUCAUCAGCCAUGGAAAAAAACUGGUACUCAAUAUUUGAGAUGGACGAGAGGGAACAAAGUAACUUCAGUAUGAAGAGGCAGAUAUUGUGUGUAUGUAUAAUUGCAACGUCCCAAAAUAAUUUGUGUGUUUACGAAAAAACUUUCAUUCAAAAUAUGGAAUAAAUAGUGUAUAGUUUUAGAAGUAUCAGAUUUUAUAUUAUCAUUAAUUAGAAAUGUAUUGUAUAUGUGUUAUAAUUCUUUGAUGUUGGUGAAUAAUAUUAUUUUUUCAUUAAUAAUAAAAAAACAUUUAUGUAGACAUAUUAAAAGAAAACAUAAUAAAAAUCAAAAUCAAAAUAUUAUCCAUAAACAAUAUAAAUUAUGAAG